AAGUCGUAACAAGGUUUCCGUAGGUGAACCUGCGGAAGGAUCAUUAACACGUUGCACAAACGUUUUAAUAUCAAAACUUUAACCCCGCGCACAAUGUUUCAAAAAACAAUACGGGCUCGUUCGAACCAGGAAACUUUGAAGUGGCUGCUUUGUGAUGGGUGGCCGGUCAGAGUUGACAAAGACUUGGUUCUUGAACCUACAGUUAGUCCGCCAUCAUAUUUUGUUUUUUUUUAAACCCCUUGAAUCUUAUCAGUCUGAAACUUUUUCUUUUUUGUUCGCAAGAACAAAAAAAAAAAAAAACGAAACAAAGAACAACUCUUAGCAACGGAUAUCUUGGUUCUC
rnacentral:misc_RNA from 1 species